UGUCAGGAGAGGAUGUGCUGCGCUAUCAGGCUUCAGUCCCCUUUGCCUCUAUUAGAAGACUCUGGACCUCACCUGCCUGGGAACUCUGCUUCUCCACAUACCAGCUGUAUGACCUUGGAGUAAUGUAAAGCUGAAGCCUUAGGAGUUCCUGCCGAUGGAAAGCCGCAAAAGACCUCAGAAAAAGAAAUAGAGAGACUGCACAAGAAUGGUCAAGAAGGGCAGACGGAAAGAGAGUGAGAAUCUUACAUAGGCUCAGCGCUCCACCCAGAGCCUUAUGUGGGGCUCAAUCCCACAAUUCUGGGAUCAUGACUUGAGCCAAAAUCAAGAGUCGAUCCUCA